AUUUUCUUUUCCAUGUGAUAUCUUUGUUUGGUUUUGGUAUUAGGCAAUGCUGGCUUCAUAGAAUGAGUUUGGAAGCAUUCCUUCCUCUGCAGUUUUUUGGAGUAAUUUGAGGAUAGGUGUUAAGUCUUCUCUAAAUGUUUGUGAAAGCAUCUGGUCCUGGACUUUUGUUUUUUGGGAGUUUAAUUACUAAUUCAAUUUCAUUUCUGGUAAUUGGUCUGUUCAUAUUUUCUAUCUCUUUCUGGUUCAGUCUCAGCAGUGUACAUUUCUAGGAAUUUGUCCAUUUUUUUUAGGUUGUUCAUUUUAUCAGUAUAUAGUUGUUCAUAGUAAUCUCUUAUCAUUUGUAUUUCUGUUGUAUAGGUUGUAACUCCUCCUUUGUCAUUUCUUACUGUGUUGAUUUGGGCCCACUUUUUUUUUUGAUGAGUUUGGCUAAAGGUUUAUCAAUGUUAUCUUUUCAGAGAACCAGCUCUUAGUUUCAUUGAUCUUUUCUUUUUUCUUAGUAUCUAUUUAUUUUUGUUGGAUCUCUAUGAUUUCUUUCCUUCUACUAACUUUUGUUCUUUUUAGUUCCUUUUGUUUGUUCUUUUUCUAGUUCCUUUAUGUGUAAGGUUAGCUUGUUUGCGAUUUUCUUGUUUCCUGAAGUAGACUUGAAUCACUAUAAACUUCUCCCUCAGAACUGCCUUUGCUCCAUCCCAGAUUUUGGAUUGCUGUGUUUUUCCAUUUGGAUUUGUCUCUAGGUAGUUUUGGAUUGCUUCUUUUUUACCCCCAGUGAUCCAUUGUCUGUUCAGUAGCAUGUUGUUUAGCCUCCAUGUGUUUGCCUUUUUUGCAGUUUUUUUCUUGUAGUUACUUUCUAAUCUUAUAACAUUGUGGUUGAAAAAGAUGCUUGAUACGAAUUUCAGUUUUCUUAAAUUUACUGAGAUUUAUUUUAUGGCCUACCAUGUCAUCUGUCCUGGAAAAUGUUCCAUGUGCAUUUGAAAAGAAUGUGUAUUUUGCUGCUUUUGGAUGGAAUGUUUUAUGUAUAUCUGUUAAGUCCAUCUGGUUUAAUGUUCUGAAUGUCAAGUCUGAGCUGGUGUUGGCCCACUGUGGGCAGGGCCCAGGCGCAGGGUUCCCAAGCUAGCGCUGGCACACUGGUAUAUGGGGCCAGGUCUUGGCCCUCUGCAGGGCAGGGCCAUGUCCCUGGGCAGCUGUGAGCUCAGGGGUCUGAAGGCAGCAGGCCUGCUGGUGGGUGGGCUGUGUGAACUCCCCUAAAUGGCUGCCGAAGCGUCUGUGUCCCCAUUGUGAGCUCCAGUCGCCUCCUGCCUCUCUGGGAGGCUCUGCAAGAUCAGCAGGUGGGUCUGACCCAGGCUCCUUCCACAUGACUGCUUCCGCCCUGGGUCCUGGAGUGUGGGAGACUUUGUGUGCGCCCUUUAAGAGUGGAGUCUAUUUCUUACAGCCCUCUGGCUCUCCCGAAAGCAAGCACUGCUGGUCUCCGAAGCCAAAUACUCUGGGGCCUGGCCUUCCCAGUGCAAGGCCCCCAGGAUGUGGAGCCUGAUGCAGGGCUUGGGCCCCUUGCUCCCUGGGGAGGACCUCUGCAAUUGUCAUUAUCUUUCCACGUGUGGGUCUUGACUGUACCAUGACUCCACCCCUCCUACCUGUCUUGUGGUUCGUUCUUUAUAUCUUUAGUUAUAUAAGAUCUCUUCUGCUAGAUUCCAGGCUUUCUCAUCAAUAGUUGCUCUGUAAAUAGUUGUGAUUAUGGGUCCAUGGGAGGAGAUGGGCUCAGGGUCUUCUUACUCCACUGUCUUGGCCAAGUCUCAAGAGCUGACACUGAGCAAGGCCUAACUGUGCUAAUAAUAAGCACUUUGCACAUUUUACUUAAUCCAAUCAGGCCUAUAAAACAGGUGCCAUUAUUCCCAUUUACAGACGACGAAGCUGAGGCACAGUGAGAUUAAGUAACUUGUCUAAAGCUGCACAGCUAGUCAGGGGUGGAAGAGACAGAAUUUGACCCCAGGGAGCCUGUCUGACCCACGUGGCUGCUUUGUGACAUUUGGACAUGUGGGUCAGGAGCUCAGGGCGGACCUGAAUGACAGCUGUAGAUAAGGAAUCAUCUGAGUCCAGAACAGCACUCGGGACCUGUGGAGCCAGCCAGGGAGCAUCUCCAGCGUCAGACCUGUCCUUUGGAUUAAUGAUCAGGGGUAACUGCAAUCAAGUUCUGACUUGUUAAGGUCAGAAUUCUGGAGUGAAGAGAGGGCAGAACGGCAAAGAAGCCCUAACCUUGAAACCCGAAGUCCUUUCUGUGCACCGUGCACGCUCCACUGCGGCCCACCGGCUCGGGCAUCCCUCUUCCCGCACAGUGUCGUCCUCAUAAGCUGUCGUCUGUUACGUCGGAACACGGGCGAGUGCUCCUCUACAAAGACACGCUAUGUACAGACACCCGGGGAGCAACUGGAAAAAGCAACUGGUCUGGGGAUCAACACAGGGGAAGAAAAAGUCAUUUCAGGUGACCUUUGCCCUCUGGCUGUGCACAGGGCGAGCCUGCAAAUCCACUCAUCAAAGCACACACCACGAUUUUCAUUCGGCAGAUACACAUACACGUUCAGAAGCGGGAGAAAAAUAAAACUCGGAGGUUUUCAUCACAUCUACCGUCGCCUCUAAUCUGACAGUUUUACAGAGUUUUGAGAGCCUCCGGGGAGGAACAUACCAGCAAUUUCAGAAGAGCAGAUGACCAGAGGCUCAGCUGGGAACUGAUACCCCAAGAUAAACCUUUAUCCGAACUGCAGCUUUCUCAGAAAAGGGGCACGUCGUAAACUACCUAGCCCAUCUUUCUUCCCUCCCACCGAUGUCAAACUGUCAUCUUGGAGAGAAAUACAUUUUUCAGUUGUCUUAACAAUGUGGCAUAAAAGGAAGUUUGGACAGACGUCUAUAAAAACCUCACGAUUUCGAGAGGAGAGAAACAGCCGAGGGCCAUCCUGUGACCUCCCCAGGUUGCCGAGCUGCUCACAGGGGGCUGGAGGAGCCCACUGAGAGGGCGGUGACGGCGCUCUCCCAGAAGAGGGCGCUCAGCAGGAGGAGGAACAGAAGCUGCGGUGCUGCGGCGCUGUGGGCGGAAGCCCUGGCCGGCUGGCUGGCGGCAGGGAACUCAAUUUAGGUGUCACGUUCCCAGGGAAUCUGAAAGGCCCCGGAGCCGGAGCCGAGGCCAGCAGCGAGGCCCCUGGCCUUGGUGGGCGGAGUCCAGGCGGUGGACUGAGCUCCCUGAGGCCUGGCUCCUGGGCCGGGGAGGGCCUGAUCGUCCGCCAGGCCCCUGGGAGGCACCGGAAGCACAGCUGUGAGUUAGGGGAAGGUCAGACUCAGCUCCCGGCCCAGCACCCCACCCAGAACACGUGCCCACCACAGAGAAGUUACCAGAAGGGCCCUACACCCUUCGUCACGCUGUCUGCACAUUCAAACAUCAGUAAGCCUUUUGGGAAGACCCAUGUUUACAGCCACAGUAAGAUCCUGACCACAUGUUUCUGAACGAUACCUCUACCCACAGCAGUAACUAUUCACUUUAACAGUCAAAGAACGGAUGGGGUGAUGGCAUCCCCCGGGGCUGGGCGGUGGCCUGCUCCUCCAGGUGGUGCAAGGAGAGCAUAGGCCAGCUUUGUGCCGCUGUGGGCCCCCGCCUAGGACCGGGCCCCAGCUCCCCACAAGACACGCACGGGUUAACACCGGCCCAGGAGCUGGGUGUGCAUCCCCAAAGUAACGUGAUCCGACACGGUUCGGGGAAGAGACCUAUUAACUCUUUGGUGAAGGCCAAGCUGGCAUCUUUCUAAAUCCCGGGCCUGUGUGGCGGGAAGUGAGCCAGCACCGAGAAAGCUGGUAGAACCACAGGACCCCACGCGCAGGCCUGGUGGGGCUGGGCAGCCAAAUGCCCUACAGGCUCCAUCAGGAAGGAAAAUGGAAGCAGCCUGGGGCUGGGACAGCCUCCCCUCGUGUCCCCCUGUCUGCACUGCUUUCCUGCGGUCCCAGGUGGGGGAGAUGGUCAGAGAGACAUCUCCAGUCCCUUCACCAGCACCGAGAGGGAGAGGUGGGGUGGCUCCCUGGAGAAGCGGGGACGGGGGGGUGCAGCACCGCCAAUGUGGCUGUGUCUGCAGGACUCUGGGGCUUCUCCAAGACUCUCCAGGGCGAAGAAAGACGGGAAGGCCCUCAGGUGGUUCUGGAGGACCAAGCCCCUAGUCGCUGGAAAGCCAGCCUUUCAGGAAGGGUCUCUGGACUGCAUGCAUUGGUUCUCGACUCAGGCCAUUGACUUCCAAGCCACAUGGUCACCAGCACUGGGGCUGGCAGAACAAAUGAACAUCAGCCACACGGUCUGUCACCCCCUCAAGGGCUUUUAUACCCUCAAUAGGGUCCCGCUGCCCCCACGCAUGAUAGACACGGCUGUGUGCCUGAGACCACCUGCGCCGUCUGGCUGUUUUACUAUGACAACCUUCCCCUUCUAAACCAGAGCUUCCGGGAGGCAGCUCAGCUCAGCCUGAGGGGACAGGAGGGGUGCUCGGUGCCAGCCUUCCCCUUCUGGAGCACACACACUCUUAGGACAGACACUCAACCACAGACUCGCCCAGCGAAGGGCUCUCCCCUUCUGUUCACCGCACGGAUGGUGGUUGGAGAGAGGUAAGGACAGGGGCCACCAAGGACAGUGACCCUCUCCACAACACCUCCGCAGAGGCUCCCACACCAGAUGCCGCACCUGGAGCCAGGCUGUUUGGCCAAGUGGAGGAGGCCAAUGCAGAUCCCUCGCUUUGCAGUCUCCAGGCUGGCCCCACCGCCUCAGCUUUCUUUGGACUCAGGUGUUGGACACUUUCGAGGCAGAGGCUCACUGGAGCCGAGAUAAACGUGGUACCUGUCGGCCUGGCUGGAGAGGCCCAGGACGUCUCCGGUGUCGUCAGCCCUGUCCGUCAUCAGCGGUGGUGCCAGCAGCUCUGACCACGGAGCCGUAACCAUCGCAUUUUUGCAAACAAAAUCCUGAUUGUGUUUCCUUUUCUUCCUCCUCCUUCUUUUAAAAAAAGGCAGUUCAGAAGAUUUACAUCGUGAUGGGGAAGUGAAUAAAUACCAGCACUUAUGGUU